rnacentral:rRNA from 1 species
CCUACGGGGGACAGCAGUCGAGAAUCAUUCACAAUGGGGGAAACCCUGAUGGUGCGACGCCGCGUGGGGGAAUGAAGGUCUUCGGAUUGUAAACCCCUGUCAUGUGGGAGCAAAUUAACAAGAUAGUACCACAAGAGGCAGCGACGGCUAACUCUGUGCCCGCAGCCGCGGUAAUACCGAGGUCUCAAGCGUUGUUCGGAAUCACUGGGCGUAAAGCGUGCGUAGGCUGUUUCGUAAGUCGUGUGUGAAAGUCGCGGGCUCAACCCGCGAACGGCACAUGAUACUGCGAGACUAGAGUAAGGGAGGGGGAAGCGGAAUGUUCGGUGUAGCAGUGAAAUGCGUAGAUA